rnacentral:rRNA from 1 species
AACGAACGUUGGCGGCGUGGAUUAGGCAUGCAAGUCGAGCGAAUCCCCGCAAGGGGGGAAGCGGCGAAAGGGGCAGCAAGGCAUGGGUAACCUACCCUGGGGACUGGGAUAGCCCUUCGAGAGAAGGGGUAAUACCGGGCGAUGUGCCGGGCCGGCAUCGGUCAGUCACCAAAUGAGUUUCGCCCUGGGAGGGGCCCAUGUGAUAUUAGCUAGUUGGUGAGGUAACGGCUCACCAAGGCGAAGAUGUCUAGCGGGUGUGAGAGCACGACCCGCGCCACUGGCACUGAGACACUGGCCAGACACCUACGGGUGGCUGCAGUCGAGGAUCUUCGGCAAUGGGCGCAAGCCUGACCGAGCGACGCCGCGUGUGCGAUGAAGGCCUUCGGGUUGUAAAGCACUGUCGAGAGGGAGAAAAGCGAAAGCUUGAUCUAUCUCUGGAGGAAGCACGGGCUAAGUUCGUGCCAGCCGCCGCAGUAACAC